ensembl:snoRNA Small nucleolar RNA SNORA50
AAGCACUGCCUUUGAACCCCUCUGGUGUGACCUCUGACCUCUGGGGCCCAGCUGCAGUGCUACAGUAAAGUCCUGUUCAUAACUGGAGCCGUCUGGAUGUAUCACCAGACUGUUCUUUUAAAUACAAGACACAACA